UUAUUAUAAAUAUGAAGGAAACACGGUGUAUAAAAUACAGUUCAUUAUUGGUAUACAUACAUGUACAUAUGUAAAUGUAAAUGUGUGCUAUGUACUAUGCAUACUGCUUACAAUUUAGAGCGUUGAUCAUUUUCAAAUCUCGGAUACAAUUUUCUAUGACACUAACAUUUACGAUACAAUACUGAUUUUAAGCGCUUGGAAUCGAUACAAUUUAAUUCGUUAAUAUUAUCAGAAAGGAAAUCUGGUAUUCUGUUCCAGGUUAAUCUUCAUUAAAUAAGAUGAUUAUUAAAAUAUAAAUUUAAAGUGGAAAUCUUUGAUAAUAAUUUAAUUGAAUUGCAAAUAUAAAUUUGCUUUUAUGGAUAUUUUUAUAAAUUAGAAAACGAUACAACUCCUGAAUUCUCAAAUGGUCUCGAUUAUAAAUCAUCUAUGUAAUUACGCAGGCACGUGUAUAUAGGUACAUACAUAUAUGUAUAUAUGUAUUAAAGAAUUUAAACGAGUUUUCAUUUUAAUUAGUUCCUUUAAAUAUCAUGCGAAAUAAAAUGUUAUUAAAUCGUGAAUUGAGUUUAUCGUUAAAAAUAAGUUCGAUUUAACAUCUACAUGUUGAUAUUCCUCACGAAAGUCAUAUAGAGACAACAAAUGUGCGUGUACGUAAUAUCCGGUAAUCAUCAACUCGUAACUAUGGACACCGAAAACUAAAUAAUCUGAUUAUAUACAUACAUGUAUGUAUUUCACGUAGGCUUACGAACGAUCGCAUAUAGUGUACGGGUCCAAUUCGAUGUGGCACAUUUUAUGCAAUUGUACAAUUGAUUGAAAGAAGGGAGAACAUACUAUAUAUAUAUAUAUAUAUACACACACAUAUAUACGCAUAUACAUAUUAUUCUAAAUUCAGGUUGACCAAAUGGAUGGAUAUUUAACGGUUCUCACAAAAGAAGUAUGUAGUCGAAAAGCAACCAGUGUGUGUGUGUGUGUGUGUGUGUGUGUGUGUGUGUGUGUGUGUGUGUGUGUGUGUGUGAAAGAACGAUAACGCAUACGGCAUUUCUAGGCAAUUUGUUUAUAAAAUUAUUAA